rfam:Dictyocaulus viviparus strain HannoverDv2000 D_viviparus-1.0_Cont1108.1, whole genome shotgun sequence.
GCCUCGGUGGUGUAAUGGCAAGCACGGCAGACCGGAUAUCUGUAAGUGCGGGUACGAGUCCCGCCUGAGGUU